AUGGAGGCCGACAUGGACAUGAGCUUCGAUUUCUCUUGGGAGACGCCUAACUUCUUCGAGGCCCAGGUGCUGGAGCUCGGCGUCGUCGACAGUAUGUACUUGCCGGCUGAGGACUCGCUGUCCGGUCUGUACUCGUGCUACGACGACUCGAGCUCGCCGGACGGCGCCAGCUCGUGGUCGUCGGCCAUGACGAGGGCAACCCGCGCGAGCAAGAACAUAAUCAUGGAGAGGGACCGUCGCAGGAGGCUCAACGAGAAGCUUUACAACCUCCGCGGCGUCGUUCCAAACAUCACCAAGAUGGACAAGGCGUCCAUCAUCCAGGACGCUAUCGCGUACAUCGAGGCGCUGCAGGAGCAGGAGCGGCAGCUUCUAGCCGAGAUAUCCGACCUCGAACCAGACAACUGCACCGCCGCGGUCAAGGCGGAAGACGUCGCCUCCGUCGGGAGCCAGGCAGAGGAAGACGGCGUGGGCUUGCCACGGCAGAAGAAGAUGAGGAGGACUAGCUCCGCCUCCUCCAUCAACGACGCCAUCACUUCCCCUGCCACGUAUCCGGUCGAAAUCCUCGAGCUGGAGGUGACGAAUGUAGCGGAGAAGCUGUCGGUGGUGAGCCUGAGGCACGGCAAGGCGCGGGACGCCAUGGCCAAGGUGUGCGGGGCGCUGCAGUCGCUCUGUCUCAAGGUCAUCACGGCAAGCGUCACCACCGUGGCCGGCGGCAUGGUCCACACCAUGUUCGUCGAGACAGAAGGGAUGGAUGGUGCUCAGACAAUCAAGGAGAUGAUACAGGUUGCACUCCACCAUCUCAAAUGA
rnacentral:rRNA from 1 species